CAGUAGCCACGGGAAUACGAAGGGGGCUAGCGUUGCUCGGGAUGACUGGGCGUAAAGGGCGCGUAGGCGGCGGCCAAAGUCAGGCGUGAAAUUCCCGGGCUCAACCUGGGGGCUGCGUUUGAUACUUGGUUGCUUGAGUGGGGAAGAGGGUCGUGGAAUUCCCAGUGUAGAGGUGAAAUUCGUAGAUAUUGGGAAGAACACCGGUGGCGAAGGCGGCGACCUGGUCCUUUACUGACGCUGAGGCGCGAAAGCGUGGGGAGCAAACAGGAUUAGAUACCCGUGUAGUCCCUGUCUCUUAUAA
rnacentral:rRNA from 1 species